UACAGGGGGGGCAAGCGUUGUUCGGAAUUACUGGGCGUAAAGGGCUCGUAGGCGGCCAACUAAGUCACACGUGAAAUCCCCAGGCUCAACCUGGGAACUGCGUCGGAUACUGGAUGGCUUGAAUUCGGGAGAGGGAUGCAGAAUUCCAGGUGUAGCGGUGAAAUGCGUAGAUAUCUGGAGGAAUACCGGUGGCGAAGGCGGCAUCCUGGACCGACAUUGACGCUGAGGAGCGAAAGCUAGGGGAGCAAACGGG
rnacentral:rRNA from 1 species